rnacentral:rRNA from 1 species
UGGGGAAUAUUGGGCAAUGGGCGCAAGCCUGACCCAGCAACGCCGCGUGAAGGAAGAAGGCUUUCGGGUUGUAAACUUCUUUUGUCAGGGACGAGCGGAAGACGGUACCUGACGAAUAAGCCACGGCUAACUACGUGCCAGCAGCCGCGGUAAUACGUAGGUGGCAAGCGUUGUCCGGAUUUACUGGGUGUAAAGGGCGUGUAGCCGGGAGGGCAAGUCAGAUGUGAAAUCCACGGGCUUAACUCGUGAACUGCAUUUGAAACUGUUCUUCUUGAGUAUCGGAGAGGCAAUCGGAAUUCCUAGUGUAGCGGUGA